rnacentral:rRNA from 1 species
AGAGUUUGAUCAUGGCUCAGAAUGAACGUUGGCGGCGUGGAUUAGGCAUGCAAGUCGUGCGAGAAUCUCCUUCGGGAGAGGACAGCGGCGAAAGGGAGAGUAACGGGUGGUUACAUACCCUCAGGCUCGGGAUAGUGUCGGGAAACUGACAGUAAUACCGAAUAAUAUCUUUGGAUCAAAGGUGUGAUUCCGCCUGGGGAUUGGACCGCUUUCUAUUAGCUUGUUGGCGGGGUAAUGGCCCACCAAGGCUUAGAUGGAUACCGGGUGUGAGAGCAUGGCCCGGCUCACUGGGACUGAGACACUGCCCAGACACCUACGGGUGGCUGCAGUCGAGAAUCUUCGGCAAUGGGCGCAAGCCUGACCGAGCGACGCCGCGUGCGGGAUGAAGGCCUUCGGGUUGUAAACCGCUGUCAGUUGGGAGGAAAUAUUAGGGGGUACUCCCCCUAAUUUGACCGAUCUUCAGAGGAAGGACGGGCUAAGUUCGUGCCAGCAGCCGCGGUAAGACGAACCGUCCAAACGUUAUUCGGUAUCACUGGGCUUAAAGCGUUCGUAGGCGGCCUAGUAGGUGAGAUGUGAAAGCCCACGGCUCAACCGUGGAACAGCGUUUCAAACCACUAGGCUCGAGGAUGGCAGGGGUAAUGGGAACUGAUGGUGGAGCGGUGAAAUGCGUUGAUAUCAUCAGGAACACCGGUGGCGAAAGCGCAUUACUGGGCCAUUUCUGACGCUGAGGAACGAAAGCUAGGGUAGCGAACGGGAUUAGAUACCCCGGUAGUCCUAGCCGUAAACGAUGAGCACUGGGUUGAGGGGACUUCCACAUCUUCUCGGCCGUAGCGAAAGCGUUAAGUGUCCGCCUGGAGAUGAC